rnacentral:misc_RNA from 1 species
GAUGAAGAACGUAGCGAAAUGCGAUACUUGGUGUGAAUUGCAGAAUCCCGUGAACCAUCGAGUUUUUGAACGCAAGUUGCGCCCGAAGCCGUUAGGCUGAGGGCACGCCUGCCUGGGUGUCACACAUCGUUGCCCCAAUGCCAAUCGCCUCACUUUGUAGGUAUUUGCUUGGGGCGAAUGAUGGCUUCCCGUGAGCGUUGUUGCCUCGCGGUUGGUUGAAAAUCGAGUCCUUGGUAGGGUGUGCCAUGGUAGAUGGUGGUCGAGUUAGAACGAUACCGAUCACGUGCAUGCUCCCCAAAAUAUGGCCUCUAUGACCCACACGCGUCUUUUGACGCUCAUGACGAGACCUCAGGUCAGGCGGGGCUACCCGCUGAAUUUAAGCAUAUCAAUAAGCGGAGGA